AACGAACGCUGGCGGCAUGCCUAACACAUGCAAGUCGAACGCCCCGCAAGGGGAGUGGCGAACGGGUGAGUAACGCGUGGGAACCUACCCAGCAGUUGGGGAUAACCGCGGGAAACUGCGGCUAAUACCGAAUACGUCCUAAGGGAGAAAGAUUUAUCGCUGUUGGAGGGGCCCGCGUCGGAUUAGCUAGUUGGUGAGGUAACGGCUCACCAAGGCGACGAUCCGUAGCUGGUCUGAGAGGAUGAUCAGCCACACUGGGACUUAGACACGGCCCAGACUCCUACGGGAGGCAGCAGUGGGGAAUAUUGGACAAUGGGGGCAACCCUGAUCCAGCAAUGCCGCGUGAGUGAUGAAGGCCUUAGGGUUGUAAAGCUCUUUUACCGGGGACGAUGAUGACGGUACCCGGAGAAUAAGCCCCGGCUAACUUCGUGCCAGCCGCCGCUGUAA
rnacentral:rRNA from 1 species